rnacentral:rRNA from 1 species
CCCGCUGAACUUAAGCAUAUCAAUAAGCGGAGGAAAAGAAACCAACAGGGAUUGCCCUAGUAACGGCGAGUGAAGCGGCAACAGCUCAAAUUUGAAAUCUGGCCUCUCCGGGGCCCCGAGUUGAUAUUUUGCAGAGCGUGCUUUGCGCGGGGCCGUGGUCUAUGCUCCUUGGCACAGGCCGCCACAGAGGGUGAGACUCCCGUAUGUGGCCGCCAGUCUUCGCCGUGUAAUGCCCCUUCGACGAGUCGAGUUGUUUGGGAAUGCAGCUCUAAAUGGGAGGUAAAUUUCAUCUAAAGCUAAAUAUUGGCCAGAGACCGAUAGCGCACAAGUAGAGUGAGCGAAAGAUGAAAAGCACUUUGGAAAGAGAGUCAAAAAGCACGUGAAAUUGUUGAAAGGGAAGCGCUUGCAGCCAGACUCGCCUGUAGUUGCUUAGCUAGGCUUUUGCCUGGUGUACUCUUCUGCAUGCAGGCCAGCAUCAGUCCGGGCGGUCGGAUAAAGGCGUAUUAAAGGUACCUCUCCCCGGGGAGGUCUUAUAGGCUAGUUGCCAUGCCCCCAUCGUGGAUUGAGGUCCGCGCGUCUCCUAGGAUGCUGGCGUAAUGGCUGUAAGCGACCCGUCUUGAAACACGG